rnacentral:ncRNA from 1 species
UUCUCUGCAAGGACGAGAGAAAGUACAUGGAUGGAACUGAUAAAGCGAGCCCGGAUGGUGGAAGCGGGUACGGGAAUUUCAUGGAAGUGCCUCUCUGAGCUGACAGUCUGAAGGAAGUAGGGCUGUCCGGGAAGCCCGUUACAGCCUGCAGUCUACGACUGGCCAAGAUUUCUUCGGCGACGAAGGAAUGAAUCUGGGUGGAACACGGAAUUCUCCGUCCCAUGG